rnacentral:sRNA from 1 species
AACUUGUGUUAGGCAUGCGUCCGAAGUGCUGGAAGGCUCAGGAUGUCAAUGGCUUUCAGAUGUCAGGAUAACCUUAAGGAUAGAUGAAGGGUUGAGAGCCUGUGCCUCAUUUCUGAGUUCUGAGCUGCUAUGCCGUGGAAAUCCUGUUUACUUUCUUCAUCUGCUCCUGCAAGGCUCUGGAGCCAGUCUUGAGGUCCUACAUCUCCGAAAGCAAGCUCUUCUAGAAGUUGAUAGCUUUCCAAUGAUUAGACGAAUUGAUUCUUUCUGUGACUCAUCAGUUCAUUUCCUGUAAAAUUCAUGUCUUGCUGUUGAUUUGUGAAUAAGAACCAGAGCUUGUAGAAACCACUUUAAUCAUAUCCAGGAGUUUGCAAGAAACAGGUGCUUAACACUAAUUCACCUCCUGAACAAGAAAAAUGGGCUGUGACCGGAACUGUGGGCUCAUCGCUGGGGCUGUCAUUGGUGCUGUCCUGGCUGUGUUUGGAGGUAUUCUAAUGCCAGUUGGAGACCUGCUUAUCCAGAAGACAAUUAAAAAGGUACAAGUAGUCCAAAGAAUAUGCCUUCUCGUUUUGAUUGAUUCUAACUUCUCUUUUUUUGCUUUGUAUUUACCUGCUUUAUAUUUCAUGGUAACUGCUAAUUUUGUAUCUUUGACAUAAAGGUAAUUCUGAACCACUGCAACUCUAUAUGAUGUGACUUUAUGUGAAAUGUUAUAAUGCAUAUUUAACAUGACUCCAUUGCUAUCUUAAAUAUAAAUACCAAAUUCUAUUAAAAGCUGUCUACAGGUAUACAUGUUAGUAGAAAUAAUUGUUUUAAGUUAUGUCCAAAGAGCAUGUUGGCAUGCUUUUGAAUAGGAAAUAAGUGAGUAUAUUUUGUAAAAGCACAUUU